CACGAGUCUAGAGCCUCUAACAUAACUGAGUAAUAAUUAAAGUAUCUGAAUAACAACAUAAAAAGUGUGGGAGAGUAUAUAAUAAUAAUGAACUAAGAAAAAAAUGAAGAGCAGCCAGGUCCUGCGAACGUCAUGCAACUACCUCAACAGCUCUGGGAAUAUCUCUGGAGACUAUGAGUAUCAGCUAGCCUCCAGUGUACCGGAA
rnacentral:lncRNA from 1 species